rnacentral:rRNA from 1 species
AGUUUGAUUAUGGCUCAGGAUGAACGCUAGCGGCAGGCUAACACAUGCAAGUCGAGGGGCAGCGCGAGGUAGCAAUACUUGGCGGCGACCGGCGGAAGGGUGCGUAACGCGUGAGCAACAUGCCCGUAUGAGGGGGAUAAGCGAUGGAAACGUCGUCUAAUACCCCGUAACACAGGAGAUCGCAUGAUCACCUGCUGAAAGAUUUAUCGCAUACGGAUUGGCUCGCGUGACAUUAGCUAGUCGGCGGGGUAACGGCCCACCGAGGCGACGAUGUCUAGGGGUUCUGAGAGGAAGGUCCCCCACACUGGAACUGAGACACGGUCCAGACUCCUACGGGAGGCAGCAGUGAGGAAUAUUGGUCAAUGGGCGGAAGCCUGAACCAGCCAUGCCGCGUGAAGGAAUAAGGCCCUAUGGGUCGUAAACUUCUUUUGACGGGGAGCAAUAAGGGUCACGUGUGGCCCGAUGAGAGUACUCGUCGAAUAAGCAUCGGCUAACUCCGUGCCAGCAGCUGC